rnacentral:tRNA from 1 species
UUAUAAGCAUUUGUUUUGAAAACUUAAGAAAGAAUAAAUAAUUCUAUUAAUUUAUACUAAAAAAAUU